UUCUCAGCUGAACACUGUCAUCUGCCAGAGCUUCAGGCAAGAACCCAGAACAGAUGAAACCCCAGACAUGACAAAAUAAGCCAAGGAAUACCAGGCCAAGAUGUGAAAGGCCAGAUGAGAACAAGCAGCGUACACGAUUCUGUUGCCAACAGAUCUCCCCUAACAGUGUCGUGCACCAAAUUUCCACAGUGAAUGUCAGGAAAAAAUGGCAAUUGAGAUGAAGAAACUGAGGCAGACAGAGGUGAAGAAACUUGCACAAGGUCAAAGCACAAUCUUUCAGAAAAUGGCAUUGCGUACUGAGGACAGUGAGAAAUAGGAGGUUAUGUUUCUUAUCAAAGCCCUCCAUGUAGAAAGGUGAGCUCUCAGAGAUGAUCUGAAUUAUCUUUGCUUCCACCGUUUCUGCCUAUUGCUACCUGAUCUGUCACAUUCAUGACUGAGAAAUAUUGUCAACUGGAGAGGCUGAAGAAAUCUGAAAAAAGGCUGAAAGCUGAAACAACUGAUGGAAUUCUA
rnacentral:lncRNA from 1 species